AUGCAUAUAGAAAUUGUUGAUUAUACAUCAAGUGGGAUCUUAAAUCGAUGGAGAAAUUAUAUCGUUUGACUGAAACGUACUGGAGCAAUAUUACAUCUGCAACGUCAUCGCACCGCAGGCUGAAAGUUUACCGGAUACCACCAGGACUUCCAGCGAGGCAAACGAAGGUCGACGAAUAAGGAGACAUUUGCAACAACAAGCUUGCCGACCCCGGCAUCGGUCCCCGUAAAAAUAUUCACUGUAUUAACAGUUAAAAAAUAGCAAUCAUCCCACCUACAUCAUUUGUGCUCAUACACAAAUAAAUAGCUUGGCGUGUUAUAAUAAUAGUACCUAUACACGUCGAAAAAACUAUGUCUCAUGCUUGCAUCAUCGCGAUAAUUAGUUUUGCUACACGAUGUUGCCCUUGGUUGUCAAUCUUAAUAAUCUCUGUUCCGCACCUCUAAUACGAAUUCCUAACCCAACACAAUAAGCUAGUGUUCAGAUGUCGUCUCAAUUAGAUCGAUACAAUAAGCGUACGUUCCUAGCGGGAAGGGUGGUCGGACGACUCGCUUCUGUCAUCAGACGAACUUCAAGGGAUGAAUUUCGUUAAGCAGACGAAAUAGAAAAUGGUACAUGAUGCCACCAGAAAUGAAUAAAAAGAUGAGCUACAGCGUGGUCUAGAAUCAAAAUCGUUCCCAGUUUGUAUUACUGCAUUUGGUUUCCACAAUGAUUUAAUAUCGAGUAGUGAUGAUAUUAAUCAUUGCAAAACUACCAUAAUACGAUUUGUACGAUCUAGCACUAUCGUUAGUAUUACUGAUAUUAUUAUUGUUGUAAGCCUGGAUUACAGCUGGCAAACGUUUGGCAUUCGUGUGAGAUUAAAAACUACGUGAAAAAUGGCAUCAAAAAUCUAUAUGAAUGACAGAAGCCAUUGUAGAAUUAAUCCACAGCAAGCGACCCGUAUGUUAAUGGCGGCAAGGAUCUGCUACAAUGAAACAUUUUUAUUCUGGAUACAUUGGUUACCACUGAAAGUUUCAGUCAACUAUUUUAUUGGCAAACAGAGUCUAUGAGCGUAUGACGGCGACCAAAUAAAGUUAUGAGGUGAUUCCAGCCGCUCACUGAUGUAUUCGUCGCGUAAUUAAAGAGUCUGCUAAUAACGCGGCAGAUGUUCAG